rnacentral:tRNA from 1 species
AGGGGUUUAGCUCAGUUGGUAGAAUGCUUGCCUGGCAUGCAGGAGACUCUGGAUUUGAUUCCCAGCACCACCA